ensembl:snRNA U6 U6 spliceosomal RNA
GUUCUCACUUCAGCAGCACAUAUACUAAACUUGGAACAAUGCAGAGAAGGUUAGCAUGGCCCUUGUGCAAGAUGACCUGAAAUUCAUGAAGUGUUCCAUAUUUUU